rnacentral:rRNA from 1 species
UAGGGAAUCUUCCGCAAUGGGCGAAAGNUGACGGAGCAACGCGCGUGAGUAAUGAAGGUCUUCGGAUCGUAAAACUCUGUUAUUAGGGAAGAACAUAUGUGUAAGUAACUGUGCACAUCUUGACGGUACCUAAUCAGAAAGCCACGGCUAAUUACGUGCCAGCAGCCGCGGUAAUACGUAGGUGGCAAGCGUUAUCCGGAAUUAUUGGGCGUAAAGNGGGCGUAGCGGNUUUUUUAAGUCUGAUGUGAAAGCCCACGCUUCACCCGUGAAGGGUCAUUGGAAACUGGAAAACUUGAGUGCAGAAGAGGAAAGUGGAAUUCCUUGUGUGGCGGUGAAAUGCGCAGAGAUAUGGAAGGAACACCAGUUGGGCGAAGGCGACUUUUCUGGCCUGUUAAACUGGAACGCUUGAUUGUGGCGAAAGCGUUGGGGGAUCAAAACAGGAUUAGGAUACCCCUGGGUAGGUCCCACCGCCCGGUAAAACGGAUGGAGUUGCUAAAGUGUGUUAAGGGGGGUUUCCCGCCCCCUAAGUGCCUGC